GCAGCUCAAGUCAACACAAGUCCCUGCUGGAGAUACAGAGCUCAUAUACGCUGAUAUCUCUCAUGAGAAAAAGAGUGAAAAGAAGAAUACAGAAUCUUUCCUGGCUGCUGAUGUGGAAUACUCCGAGGUCCGAACGCAGACAAAGAGGAAGAAGAAGAAGAAGGAGGAGGAGGUUCAGUACGGCGAGGUGACAUUCACUCCGAACCACUCAAACGCUCCACAGCAGCAGCUUCAGGAGGAGUGUGUUUACUCGCAGGUACAGAGACACUAGUUUCACAGCAAAACUCGUGUAGGAUCGCACUUUCCCUGAGAAACCGGAUGCUUAUUUUCACUUAUGUUUGGCUUUGGGAGUUUUAUAGGUUAUAUAAAGCACAUAUCUCUUUGCGUUUGUAAAUUAUUUAGCUUGACAUGUUAACAAUGGUACUGUGUGUUGAUAUGUGGUGUUACGGGUUGUAUAGCGUGAGCUUUAACGUACAUGUCUGGGCUGAACUGUCAGAUGAGUAAACAAAACAAUGGAAAAAAGAGGAAACCAAUCGCACAUUAUUUCCCCUUGAACUUCUGUGCAAUUCAGUUUUUAGCGCUUCUCGAUUUGCAACUGCGACUAUACGAUGGCAAGAAAAACCUUGAAAGUUAGCUUUUAAUCAUGAAUCUCGAGGAGGUGAUUGAUGUGCACAAGUGCUCAAAAGUCAUGAAAACACACCUUGAUAGCACACGUACAAUACAGAGACGUCUAUUUGACGUCUGCAUUACAUCUGCAAGGCAUAUUUUUUUAGUGUUUGUUCAUCUGCAAUACGACUAUAGGACGUUUCCUAUCAGAUGUCAAAUAGACGUUAAUAAGAUGUCUUUAAGAUGUUUAUGAUUUAGAAUGAAUGUAAACUGACAUCUUAAAGACGUCUAUCAGAUGUUUGUACACAGCAGAUGCUUUCCAGAUGAAGCGAUCUUUGACAGACCUCUUGCAGACGUGAUGCAGUUUGGUGAUUUGGAAUUAACAUUUCAAAGCAAUUAAAGUCGGAAAGUCACAGAAAAUCUUAGCUUUGCUAGACUGAGUUAUGCAUUUCUGCAUUUGGCCGCCUGGAGUGAGUUGAAGCAGUCACAUGUUGUUAAUGGGGGCUUGUGGCAAAAAUGCAACCAAAAUUAACCAAAAUGCCCCACAAAUUCAAGAUAAAGGGGCAAAAAUUGCCCCUGCACAAUGCAACAAUGUACUACAGCUGUUGUGAUUAAAAUGAACUGCUCAUGCUGCAUCAGAUUGCAUUUUAUGCUUUUUUUAUUUUGCAGUGUUGAGCUUUAUAAGCAAUCACAUGCGUUUCCGUUGAGCUUAGGAAUGCAAUGGCCAAUCAGAGCUGCUUAGAUUAGUCAGUGCUCAAGACUCCGGAGUUGUUGUUGAUUAUAUUGCCGCACUGAACCCACAUCAUAAACAACAGUGCAGAUACGAUGUAAAUAAAAGAUUAAUUUCAUAGCAUCAGUUAUUAUAAUGGGAGGUUUUGCUCAACUUGUGCUAGUCUAGUCUAACGUCAUGGACCGACAUGUUUGUCUCUGAAGCCAUGAGACAAACUUUUUUUGAGACAAAAUUUUGAUUGAUUGAAGUAAUUGGUUAAAUUCAAGUAAUUGACAUUAAAAACAACACAGAUACAAUUAUUAAGGUGGUGAUAAAAACUGCCCUCACGAAUGUACAAAAUCAGUUAAUUAAUGACCCUGGUUUACAGAACCCUUCUGUUUACAGAUAAAUAUUGCAUUAAUAAUGUCUUAAAUUUUGUUCCUCGAGUUCGGGGAAAGACCUGAGAGAGGCCAAAAAGGCCUGAUAAUGUUUAAAGGUUUGCACACAUAAGUCCUGUAGUGUUGGUUGAUAGUAAAUUGUAACCUAUUGGUUUCUACCAGAUAAACUAGUCAAGAGUUCAAUUCUUAAAUAAAAACUUCACAGCUUGAAUUUACAGUAAAUGUAUGUAAACACGUCUGCUAAAAGUGAUACUGAAUGUUGAUAUGUGGUGUAACGGGUUGUAUAGUGUGAGCUUUAACGUACAUGUCUGGGCUGAACUGUCAGAUGAGUAAGCAAAACAAUGGAAAAAAGAGGAAACCAAACACACAUUAUUUUCCCUCAAACUUCUGUGGACUCCUGUUUUUAGCGCUUCUUGAUUUGCAACUGCGACUAUAUGAUGGCAAGAAAAAGCAUACAUGAAAGUUAGCUUUUAAUCAUGAAUCUCGAGAAGGUGAUCGAUGUGCUCAAGUGUUCAAAAGUCAUGAAAACACACCCUGAUAGCACACGUACGUCACGGAGAUGUCUAUUUGACGUCUGCAUUACAUCUGCAAGACGUAUUUUUUAGAGUGUUUGUUCAUCUGCAAAAUGUCUAUAGGAAGUUUCCUAUCAGAUGUCAAAUACAUGUUAAUAAGAUGUCUUUAAGAUGUUUAUGAUUUAGAAUGCAUGUCCCUGAUUGCACAAAGAGACUCUAUCUGACCUCUGCAUUACAUCUGCAAGACGUAUUUUUUUUUAGUGUUUGUUCAUCUGCAAUACAUCUAUAGGACAUUUCCUACCAGAUGUCAAAUAGACAUUUAGAAGAUGUCUUUAAGAUGUUUAUGAUUUAGAAUGAAUGUAAACUGACAUCUUAAAGACGUCUAUCAGAUGUUUGUACACAGCGGAUGCUUUCCAGAUGAAGCGAUUUUUAUAUGUAUUCCAUUAAUCCGUAUUAAUAAUCAUUAUUACAAUAUCAAGAGGCAAUAAUCGACAAUAACGAAUGUUGUCAUAAUAUUGCAGCCAUAUUGGCUCCUGUUUUUAAAUGUAUAAUUAAGAUAUGAUUUCAAACAGUCAGUUGUUACUGGCAACAGUUUAAAGUAUUUUGAUUAAUUGAAGUAAUUUGUUAAAUUCAAGUAUUUGACAUUAAAGACAACACAGAUACAAUUAUUAAGGUGGUGAUAAAAACUGCCCUCACGAAUGUACAAAAUCAGUUAAUUAAUGACCCU
ensembl:lncRNA